rnacentral:rRNA from 1 species
GCGCUGAAGGUUGGUACUUGUACCGACUGGAUGAGCAGCGAACGGGUGAGUAACGCGUGGGGAAUCUGCCUUUGAGCGGGGGACAACAUUUGGAAACGAAUGCUAAUACCGCAUAAAAACUUUAAACACAAGUUUUAAGUUUGAAAGAUGCAAUUGCAUCACUCAAAGAUGAUCCCGCGUUGUAUUAGCUAGUUGGUGAGGUAAAGGCUCACCAAGGCGAUGAUACAUAGCCGACCUGAGAGGGUGAUCGGCCACAUUGGGACUGAGACACGGCCCAAACUCCUACGGGAGGCAGCAGUAGGGAAUCUUCGGCAAUGGACGAAAGUCUGACCGAGCAACGCCGCGUGAGUGAAGAAGGUUUUCGGAUCGUAAAACUCUGUUGGUAGAGAAGAACGUUGGUGAGAGUGGAAAGCUCAUCAAGUGACGGUAACUACCCAGAAAGGGACGGCUAACUACGUGCCAGCAGCCGCGGUAAUACGUAGGUCCCGAGCGUUGUCCGGAUUUAUUGGGCGUAAAGCGAGCGCAGGUGGUUUAUUAAGUCUGGUGUAAAAGGCAGUGGCUCAACCAUUGUAUGCAUUGGAAACUGGUAGACUUGAGUGCAGGAGAGGAGAGUGGAAUUCCAUGUGUAGCGGUGAAAUGCGUAGAUAUAUGGAGGAACACCGGUGGCGAAAGCGGCUCUCUGGCCUGUAACUGACACUGAGGCUCGAAAGCGUGGGGAGCAAACAGGAUUUAGAUACCUGGUAGU